ACAAGCGGUGGAGCAUGUGGUUAAUUCGAAGCAACGCGAAGAACCUUUACCAGGUCUUGACAUCCCGAUGCUAUUUCUAGAGAUAGAAAGUUACUUCGGUACAUCGGUGACAGGUGGUGCAUGGUUGUCGUCAGCUCGUGUCGUGAGAUGUUGGGUUAAGUCCCGCAACGAGCGCAACCCCUAUUGUUAGUUGCCAUCAUUCAGUUGGGCACUCUAGCGAGACUGCCGGUAAUAAACCGGAGGAAGUGGGGAUGACGUCAAAUCAUCAUGCCCCUUAUGACCUGGGCUACACACGUGCUACAAUGGUUGGUACAACGAGUUGCGAGUCGGUGACGGCGAGCUAAUCUCUUAAAGCCAAUCUCAGUUCGGAUUGUAGGCUGCAACUCGCCUACAUGAAGUCGGAAUCGCUAGUAAUCGCGGAUCAGCACGCCGCGGUGAAUACGUUCCCGGGCCUU
rnacentral:rRNA from 1 species